rnacentral:rRNA from 1 species
AUUGAACGCUGGCGGCAUGCCUUACACAUGCAAGUCGAACGGCAGCACGGGAGCAAUCCUGGUGGCGAGUGGCGAACGGGUGAGUAAUAUAUCGGAACGUGCCCAGUCGUGGGGAUAACGUAGCGAAAGCUACGCUAAUACCGCAUACGAUCUAUGGAUGAAAGCGGGGGAUCGCAGGACCUCGCGCGAUUGGAGCGGCCGAUAUCAGAUUAGGUAGUUGGUGAGGUAAGGACUCACCAAGCCGACGAUCUGUAGCUGGUCUGAGAGGACGACCAGCCACACUGGGACUGGAGACACGGCCCAGACUCCUACGGGAGGCAG